AUGUGGGAUUUCGUGGUUGAAGUGCUACAUGGUAUUUCUCAUGAUGGGGAAAAUGCAAAUGAUAGAUGUUUGGAUUAUGGAUUUAUGAUAAACAUGGAAACUUUUGAAUUUAUUAUUAUCUUGCAUUUGAUGCUUCGAGUGCUUGGUUUAACCAUUGAUUUGUCACAAGCAUUGCAACAAAAAGAUCAGAAUAUAGUUUGUGCUAUGAAUAUGAUUGUGUUAGUGAAAAGUCUAUUACAGAAGUUGAGAGAUGAUGAAUGGGAGCCUCUCAUGAUGUCUACCACUAACUUUUGUGCUGCAAGAAAUAUAAUAGUACCCAUAUGGAUGAUGCCAUUUCAGCAAGAGGUUACCCAAGAAGAUCGCGCAAAAUAG
rnacentral:rRNA from 1 species